rnacentral:rRNA from 1 species
AUGAACGCUGGCGGCGUGCCUAAUACAUGCAAGUCGAGCGAACGGACGAGAAGCUUGCUUUUCUGAUGUUAGCGGCGGACGGGUGAGUAACACGUGGAUAACCUACCUAUAAGACUGGGAUAACUUCGGGAAACCGGAGCUAAUACCGGAUAAUAUUUUGAACCGCAUGGUUCAAAAGUGAAAGACGGUCUUGCUGUCACUUAUAGAUGGAUCCGCGCUGCAUUAGCUAGUUGGUAAGGUAACGGCUUACCAAGGCAACGAUGCAUAGCCGACCUGAGAGGGUGAUCGGCCACACUGGAACUGAGACACGGUCCAGACUCCUACGGGAGGCAGCAGUAGGGAAUCUUCCGCAAUGGGCGAAAGCCUGACGGAGCAACGCCGCGUGAGUGAUGAAGGUCUUCGGAUCGUAAAACUCCGUUAUUAGGGAAGAACAUAUGUGUAAGUAACUAUGCACAUCUUGACGGUACCUAAUCAGAAAGCCACGGCUAACUACGUG